CCAAAGACAGGAGGGGAAAGAGAGAGAGGGGGAAGGAUAAUUAAUUACUUGUGUGAGCUAUUGCAUGAGAGAGACAAUAAACCUGCCUGGUCGCCAUGGAUAUGACAUAUUUGCUCUGAAAACAACACAAUAAUUAGCAAAGGAGGAAGAUCCGGCGAGAAUAUGAAAGACCUGGGUUUAAAGUGCCAAUCAUCUAUUCCUGUCCUCAUCCUUGAGAAUAGCAAUAACCACAGGCAAGAUGCCGGUUCGAGCAAAUAGUGACCCUUUUUACAAAACAGGCGUAUGAAAUUAAAUCGCACAUGGUGGUGUUUUGUAGCGAUCACUACUAAGCAAACAGGCAGGAGUUAUGUACGCUGUUUUUAAACAGAUUGUUUGUUCUUGAGGAGGUGGAAGUCAUUAAACCUGCCUGUCAGGCACUGGGAGCAGGAAUUUGCGCAAAAUCGUAUCAAGCAUUUCAAAUACAGCGUGUGCUGUGGUGCGUAAACAUUCAUGAAAAACACUCUGUUUCUCAGAAGUGUUUGCUCGUGAUCUAAUUGGCAAUAAAUGAUGCAACGAUCCCACUUAUGCACAAGUGAAUCAUUAAACGACAAAAAUUGUUUUCAUGAAGAAAAAAAAACAGAAUUACCACGUUUGUCAAGCUCUCGAUAUUAAAUGCACUUACGUGGGCUAAAGAAGUUCUUCUAUUUACAGUAAAUGCAACUGUAUGAGGGCUACUACUUGUUUAGGGUGAGUUUCACUCAGUUUUUAUAAAAAAAGGAUAAUAAUUAGAAAACAUAAAAAAAAGUCGCACCCAAAGUACAAAACAAGACAUCCAAUAUUCAUGCCCUUGUGUUAACUUGCAUUUCUAAAGCCCCUUUGAGUUGAAACUCACGUGGCAGAGAGCGAACAAAAACAAAUCAAGUUGCAAUAAGCGUCUUCGCUUGAGUGUGAGUCUUUUGACGCCGUUACAGCUUGGAAAGUUUUUCGUUUGGGAUGAAAGCGUGUAAGUUUGAGGUGGAAGAGUGUUGGGGUGAAAAGAAAAAAAAAAAGCAAGGCAAGACAGCAGCCUCCACACGCGGUUCCAGUCGCCGCCGCUGUCGCCAAGCCGCUGGAAGUCCCGCUGGCCGGCUAAGCGAGCGGCUUCCCUCGGUCAAGCGUCUGGAUGUGGUUGUCCCACACAGCCGCCCUCCCCACCCCUUCCCUCCUUUCCAAACUGUGCCCACUCGCGUGUCGCCUUCAGCGUGGACUUCCACUCAGAGGUGAAAACAUGCAGAGAGGAGUUGGAGGAAAAGCCAAACUCUUACCUGUGUGGACUUUGUCGUCCUGCUGCCACUUGAAACUACAAGAGACCCUCGAGCCUCGACGGUGUGGCUUGGAAAAAGUGGCCUGGACUCUCCCUGACUCGGACGACCGGGUUGGUUCUCAACUCUUGCCACGCUGGGGUCGACAUUUUCCAUUGUCGCUGAGCCGUGACCCACUUUUGCGCUGUCGAAGUAACGAAGAUGGAAACAAAAAAAUGUUGACAAAUGGCAUUUCGCGUCAUGUUUUCAAGCAUAACUGCUAAUGCUUAUAUUUUCCAAAGUGUAUGUCUGAGCACAUUAUGAUUAAGAAAAACUAAGAUGAGCAUGACAAUUGCAAAUGCAAAAAAUAUAUAUAGUGGCACUUUGGUUUCCUAUGGUUCAGUUUGUUCUGUCACUAAAUUCUAACUCAAUUUUCUCGCCAAGAGUAUCAAAUCAUUUUCCCCAAUUGAAUGAA